rnacentral:sRNA from 1 species
GCUGGGUUAGGUGGUGCAUGCCUGUAAUCCUAGUGGCUUGGGAGGCUGAGGCAGGAGGAUCGUGAGUUCAAAGCCAGCUUUAGCAAAAGUGAGGUGCUAAGCAACUCAGUGAGAUCUUGUCUCUA